rnacentral:rRNA from 1 species
UUCAGACUCCUACGGGAGGCAGCAGUGGGGGAUAUUGCACAAUGGGGGGAACCCUGAUGCAGCGACGCCGCGUGGGUGAAGGAGUAUUUCGGUAUGUAAAGCCCUAUCGGCAGGGAAGAAGCAAGACGGUACCUGACUAAGAAGCCCCGGCUAACUACGUGCCAGCAGCCGCGGUAAUACGUAGGGGGCAAGCGUUAUCCGGAUUUACUGGGUGUAAAGGGGGCGCAGACGGCGAUGCAAGCCAGGAGUGAAAGCCCGGGGCCCAACCCCGGGACUGCUCUUGGAACUGCGUGGCUGGAGUGCAGGAGGGGCAGGCGGAAUUCCUGGUGUAGCGGUGAAAUGCGUAGAUAUCAGGAGGACCACCGGUGGCGAAGGCGGCCUGCUGGACUGCAACUGACGUUGAGGCCCGAAAGCGUGGGGAGCAAACAGGAUUAGAUACCCGCGUACA